rnacentral:rRNA from 1 species
GAGGUUAAGCGAAUCCCAUAAAACCAUUCUCAGUUCGGAUUGCAGGCUGCAACUCGCCUGCAUGAAGCCGGAAUCGCUAGUAAUCGCGGAUCAGCAUGCCGCGGUGAAUACGUUCCCGGGCCUUGUACACACCGCCCGUCACACCACGAGAGUUUGUAACACCCGAAGUCGGUGGGGUAACCUUUUGGAGCCAGCCGCCUAAGGUGGGACAGAUGAUUGGGGUGAAGUCGUAACAAGGUAGCCGUAUCGGAAGGUGCGGCUGGAUCACCUCCUUUCUAAGGAA